rnacentral:rRNA from 1 species
AUUGAACGCUGGCGGCAUGCCUUACACAUGCAAGUCGAACGGCAGCACGGGAGCAAUCCUGGUGGCGAGUGGCGAACGGGUGAGUAAUAUAUCGGAACGUGCCCAGUCGUGGGGGAUAACGUAGCGAAAGCUACGCUAAUACCGCAUACGAUCUAUGGAUGAAAGCGGGGGAUCGCAAGACCUCGCGCGAUUGGAGCGGCCGAUAUCAGAUUAGGUAGUUGGUGAGGUAAAGGCUCACCAAGCCGACGAUCUGUAGCUGGUCUGAGAGGACGACCAGCCACACUGGGACUGAGACACGGCCCAGACUCCUACGGAGGCAGCAGUGGGGAAUUUUUGGACAAUGGGCGCAAGCCUGAUCAGCCAUGCCGCGUGCAGGAUGAAGGCCUUCGGGUU